CACUAAUUAUCCUUAUAUCGAAUGCUUACACAGAUGCAUUGAGGUCAAAAAGCCUCGAGCUUGUGCAACCCAGCUCUCUUACAAUCUAACACAGGCCUGGAUAGAAGGUGUGUAAUAUCCAAGCUUUCCAUCAGGUGGUUCCCCACUUCUUGAUGCCACGGUCCAAAAAUCAGGCAAGUCCACUCCAUGUAAGGAUCACCCAAAGCAAGGGCCCCACACCCUUGGCUUAUUAUUAUUAUUAUUUUUCUUACCAAUCUUCAUUGCUUCAAAAUAUAAUGAAGGGUUUCCAUAAUGUUUGACUUGUAUUAUGUAUUUAUCUUUGGUUGUAAGAUGCUUAUUCAAAGUGGAAGUAACUAUAUAGAGUGUAGGCUCAGGGGUCCACAAUGCUUACAUGGAUGCAUGAUCAAAGCUACUCAUCAGUUUUAUCCUUGAAGAAAGAAGGGGAGAAAAAUCUGUCCACAUAUUUAUAAAAAAAAUUCCAUAGCUGUUCUCCUCCAUCUGCUAGUUACAGGUGGAGCAUUGGUAAUAGAGGGGGGCUUUGCUGCUUCAUAUGGGGAUGGAUAUGGACUUCAUUCGGGUGGUGCUGACAAAGGUCCUCUAUAUGGCAUGAGUUCUCUUGUUCUUGGGGUGCAUUUGAGAAGUC